AUCCAGAUGACGAGCCCCAAAUAAGGCGAAAUACACUUCCUGGAU
rnacentral:hammerhead_ribozyme from 1 species